rnacentral:tRNA from 1 species
CGCUCGUCGCGAGGACCGGGUGCUCCUCGUCGCUGCGGAUGACGGUGGCCUUCUCGUUCAUGACGAGCAUGAGCGCCC